rnacentral:tRNA from 1 species
UCCCUGGUGGUCCAAUGGCUAAGACUCCACACUUCCAGUGCAGGGGGCCUGGGUUCAAUCCCUGGCCAAGGAA